UACGUAGGUGGCAAGCGUUGUCCGGAAUUAUUGGGCGUAAAGCGCGCGCAGGCGGCCUUUUAAGUCUGAUGUGAAAGCCCACGGCUCAACCGUGGAAGGUCAUUGGAAACUGAAAGGCUUGAGUACAGAAGAGGGAAGCGGAAUUCCACGUGUAGCGGUGAAAUGCGUAGAGAUGUGGAGGAAUACCGAUGGCGAAGGCAGCCUCCUGGGCCAACACUGACGCUCAUGCACGAAAGCGUGGGGAGCAAACAGG
rnacentral:rRNA from 1 species